CAGACAUGCUGCCCGUCAUCACGCAGACAUGGAGAGGAGGGAUUUCAUGCAGAUUGCUGUAAAUUCGGUGCAUGAGAUACCUGGAACUCUCCUGCUAGACCUCCCCUAAAGGCCCAGGGUUCUUGGUCUCCUCUAAGGAACUGUGCUGAGGACUGACUACGACACCCUGUUAGGAGCAGAGCCAAGCGGACAUUGUUACCACAGGAUGGGGCUCUCUGACACAGAUGAAGGUAGUGGGGAGAUGGGGAGGAAGGGGGUCAUAUGUAUCUAAUAGCAUUAUCCAUAUAAAUAAAUUAAUCUUAAUUUACUCAUUAAAACAUAAAAGGACCUAAUUUGGAAUGAACUAUAUUCAGAGGAAAUACUUUAUGAUAAAAUGGGGCUCGAGCAACUAAAGCUUACGUAUUUGCAAGAAGAAAUCAGGUCCAAAUUUCUGUGUCAGUACAACAAUGCCACACUGCUCCAUGUAACAUGGUAUGCAGAGCUUUAGAUAAAAGUUAAUUCACGCAGUGAGGAAUGCACGCUCUCCAUAAAGUGAUGAGAGAUCAGAAUUAAGUGCAGUUCAGCCCCCUUGGUGUUUCAGUGAGGGUACUCGCUUGAAAACUGACAGACAUCAUAAAUAUUACACUGACCAUCAGAACGGAAACCCCAUGCUGUCUAUGGACUACAACAGUAAGCUUCAGCUGCCGUCACCCCACUCAUCUCAGCACCCCGUGUGAAGUCACAUUCUCAUCUUAUCUGCCUCGUCACAUGACUGGGGAGCAUGAGUCAUCAAACCAGGAAGUCAGAGCGAGAGCUGGUGUGAAUGUUCCCUGAGUUAAAGGACCUUUCAGCUUACUAGUAAAAGCCACAAUCAAACAGACCAAAGAUGAAAUGCGCCGUAGGGACAAGUCGCGUGUAUCUAAAGCACACUCUUACAAGUGUGUAUACUGUAGCAUUCCCGCUAACAAAGUCUAACCCUGGUUGACAAUAAGCCCUGUCAUGUGACCAGACAAAUGCAGCGCGCGGGAAGGACAUCUAACACUGCUUUACAUAUGAACCUUACCCUGACACUUUUAUACAAUUCCUCUGUUGAACUGACGCAGCACAGCACGCAGAUGCACCCACGGGAAGGAACUCUGAACUUGCUUGCCCAAAUUAAAAGCCACAAAACAGACAACAGAAUGGUCUCUUGGUGGAUGACUUCCACCUCAAUUACCUGUUCAGACUGCAUUGUCUUAACACAAUCACAGUUAGGCAGAACACAUGCAACUUUUGAUCUUCCAUAGUCAAGCCAAUGUGUGUGUGAGCAGUUAUAGCAGUUAUCAUAACUACACAAUCAGUAAUAUCCCUGAGUGCAAUGAAGAUCCUGCCACGGUUAAGUUUCAAAGCCAAGUGUAAAUUUCCUUGAGUAGGUGCAUCGGGCUGGCCUGAGCCAGUUCUAUAGGCCUACUAACAGAAACAAAAAAAACAAGUUAGAGAGAUGCUGCCAAAGAGAGAAAUUUGGGAGUUAACACUUAGGAUUCAAAGCUAAAUCGCUGCGCAAAAUGUGACUUCAUCCGGAGGGCUGCUUCCUUUCCUCCAAAUCAAUCUUUUAACAUAUAUAAAUCUAGUUUAAGAAAAAAAAAUCCAUAAAUCCCUUUCAAACAUUAACAAAACAAAAA